GUAACUGAAAAAGUGACGUGUGUAAGAUUCCCAACUCAAAACUUCCUAUUUUGAAAUCCUAUUUGGACUGGGAUUUUCUUUAAAGCGUUACAUUAACGCAAAUCCAAUUGGAAUAUGGAUUUCACCUCUAUAAAAUGGAGCGGACCAUUUCCUAUGCAACAGUUCUGAUUGUUUGCAUUUCUUGAGUUUCUAAAUUUCUAUGAGUUUUUUUUACCUCUAUAAAGUGAAAUAACGUGAAGCUCAGAUAUAGCGGUGAAGCUUCAUUUGCUGACAAUGGGUUUUCCUCCAUUUCAGAGGGUAGAGAAUUUAGGAAGCUAAUUUUCAUGAUCUUCUUCCUAAAGUUGGGGUUUAGCACGCAAGGCCUUGCUUUCAAGUUGCUCUGCUCGUGGCUUAUCGUCCUUCCUCCGUUGCAAGAAUUUUGCUCAAGUGUUACCAAGCAAUGCCAGUGUUAAGUGCUUGAGAGAUGCAGGCCUCUUUUUGGAUGUAAAAAUUGUCACCCUGAACCCCAGCAUGAGGGUAUUCUACGAUAAUCUUGUUUCUUUACAGUGUAUUUUUCCGUGGUACGCACUAAGGUUCAUGACGGUUUCAUUCUUCAUCUCAAACACAGCUUAUGAUGUGUACAAAGUAAUUUCUAAACUAACCGGCAAAAAAUCAACCCAUGUUCCUUAUCGGGAUUCAAAACUCACACGAUUAUUGCGGUGUGACCAUGGGCAGAUCUCUAUAAGUCAAAUGAUCGAGUCCAGUUGAUAUUUGUUACUUUGAAGCAUCAGUCUCACAACAGAUUAAUCUGUUAUUCAACUCCUUCAAUCAAGUCAAACACAACAUCUUGCUUCAUCUCAAAUAUUUUUCUUCAAUUGAACUGCUGUGUUGGGUAAUUUUCAUGGACUGGGAGCACAAUCAUGGAUGGAGUUGAUUGCAAAGCACCAUGGCGUGGUCCCAUUUUCAGGAUUCCAAUUACCAUAACAAAACCUAUGACUGAACAAUCGUCCUCCUUUUGUAUCAUUUACAAGGAUGUCAUUUCAACCAGGUAAGCUUAGUUAUUUUUUUUUGAUCUGGUGAUGACUUUGUUAUUGCUCUUUCUCUUGCAGAUUCAGAAUUCAUUCACAACAGAUUAAUCUGUAAUUCAACUCCUUCAAUCAAGUUUCUUGCUUCAUCUCAAAUAUUUUUCUCCCUUUGAGCUGCUCUUGUUAGCUGAAGUUGAAGUUUAUUUUAACAGUGGAGUGUGCAAGUCGAACCCCAGUUUUGUGAAGGUGCUAUUAAUUUGGAAGAGUGCAUUGAGUUACAUUCAACGGAAAAGGAGGUUUGAUGUCUGCUGAGUACAUUCUCCUUACUCACUAUGGACGCAGCUUCAAAUUUCUACAACUGGAAUUGAGCGGAGCUUAGAUAUUGUGAUGGAGCUUCAUUUACUGGAGAUACUAGCUUUGACAAUAGGACGCAGAGAAUUUGGGAAGCUAACUUUCAUGAUCUUCUUCCUAAAGGGUUGGGGUUAGCAUGCAAGGCCUUGCUUUCAGGUUGAUCUGCUAGUGAUUUAUUAUCCUUCCUCUAGUGCGAGAACUUUGUUAAGUACUUCAGUGAUUCAGGCUUCUUUUUGGAUAAAGAAAAGAUGUCACCUUGAACCACACAAUGAGAGUAUUAUAUACAAAAAUCUUGUUUCUUUACAGGGAAUGGAAAAGAGUUUGAACAAAAAUUGCAUUCAUUUCUAUAAAGAUCUCAAACUAUGCAUUGUUCCAAAGUAUGCAUUAAGGUUCAUUAUAGUACCAUUCUUCAUCUUAAACACAGCUUAUGAUGUGUACCCCAGAUUCAUAAGGGUGCUAGUAAUUUGGAAGAGUGCAUUGAGUUACAUUCAACGAAAUAGGAUUCCUAUGAGCUAGCGUAUUCGUUAGAUGGGAAAUGCAAAUACAUGGUUGAAGAAGAUGCUAGAAGCUAUGCUCUGUGGUGAAAGAUUAUAGAAAGAACAUGUUUAAGCUUAGGAGGAAGCCAGGAGAGAUUGGACUGUGGGAGGGUACGAAGAGUCAGUGAGGAGGAAGCCAUUCUUGCAUUAUUGCUGCAAUGAAUGAAGCCAUGGAUAAAGCAGAGGCUAAAUUGAGAAAGAGGGAAUAUUUGAACGCUGUUAGAAGUAGAUAUAGAUAUGGAAGAAGUUUAGCAGACAUAAAUACGGGAGAGAUUGGACUGUGAGAGGCUACAAAGAGAAAAUGAGGAGGAAGAGAGAGAGAAAGAAAGCACAUGAGAGAGAGAGGAAAUUUGAUUACUUUUUACAGCUUUUCUCGUUUCCAUAACAUUUUCACAUUCUUUUAAUAUAUCUGCUUUUGGUGUACAGUGGAGACGACAAAGAUGAUGGUGUAGAGAGGGUUGUGUAUCUCCAUAAAAUAUGGGAUCCCAUCGUGGCAAGGAAUUCUAUCUAUGGUAGGCUAGUGCUUGUCAACAAUCUACAAAGGUGUGUUAUUUUCCUCCAUUUCAGAGGGCAGAGAAUUUGAGAAGCUAACUUUCAUGAUCUUCUUCUUAGAGGGUUGCGGUUUAGCACGCAAGGCCUUGCUUUCUGAUGCUCUGCUGGUGGUUUAUCGUCCUUCCUCAAUUGCGAGAAUUUGGAUAAGUUGUUCCCAAGCAAUGCCACUGCAUCAGUUUUCCUCCAUUUCAGAGGGUAGAGAAUUUAGGAAGCUAACUUUCAUGAUCUUCUUCCUAAAGUUGGGGUUUAGCAUGCAAGGCCUUGCUUCCAAGUUGCUCUGCUCGUGGCUUAUAGUCCUUCCUCCGUUGCAAGAAUUUUGCUCAAGUGUUACCAAGCAAUGCCAGUGUUAAGUGCUUGAGAGAUGCAGGCCUCUUUUUGGAUGUAAAAAUUGUCACCCUGAACCCCAGCAUGAGGGUAUUCUACGAUAAUCUUGUUUCUUUACAGGGAAUGGAAAAGACUCUGAUCAAAAAUUGCAUUCGUUCCUAUAAAGAUCCCAAACUAGUAGUAAUUUCUAAACUAACCGGCGAAAAAUCAACCCAUGUUCCUUAUCGGGAUUCAAAACUCACACGAUUAUUGCGGUGUGACCAUGGGCAGAUCUCUAUAAGUCAAAUGGUCGAGUCCAGUUGAUAUUUGUUACUUUGAAGCAUCAGUCUCACAACAGAUUAAUCUGUUAUUCAACUCCUUCAAUCAAGUCAAACACAACAUCUUGCUUCAUCUCAAAUAUUUUUCUUCAAUUGAACUGCUGUGUUGGGUAAUUUUCAUUGACUGGGAGCACAAUCAUGGAUAGAGUUGAUUGCAAAGCACCAUGGCGUGGUCCCAUUUUCAGGAUUCCAAUUACCAUAACAAAACCUAUGACUGAACAAUAGCCUCCUUUUGUAUCAGUUACAAGGAUGUCAUUUCAACCAGGUAAGCUUAGUUAUUUUUUCUGAUCUGAUGAUGACUUUGUUAUUGCUCUUUCUCUUGCAGAUUCAGAAUUCAUUCACAACAGAUUAAUCUGUAAUUUAACUCCUUCAAUCAAGUUUCUUGCUUCAUCUCAAAUAUUUUUCUCCCUUUGAGCUGCUCUUGUUAGCAGCUGAAGUUGAAGUUUAUUUUAACAGUGGAGUGUGCAAGUUGAACCCCAGUUUUGUGAAGGUGCUAUUAAUUUGGAAGAGUGCAUUGAGUUACAUUCAACGGAAAAGGAGGUUUGAUGUCUGCUGAGUACAUUCUCCUUACUCACAAUGGACGCAGCUUCAAACGCAGAGAAUUUGGGAAGCUAACUUUCAUGAUCUUCUUCCUAAAGGGUUGGGGUUAGCAUGCAAGGCCUUGCUUUCAGGUUGAUCUGCUAGUGAUUUAUUAUCCUUCCUCUAGUGCGAGAACUUUGUUAAGUACUUCAGUGAUUCAGGCUUCUUUUUGGAUAAAGAAAAGAUGUCACCUUGAACCACACAAUGAGAGUAUUAUAUACAAAAAUCUUGUUUCUUUACAGGGAAUGGAAAAGAGUUUGAACAAAAAUUGCAUUCAUUUCUAUAAAGAUCUCAAACUAUGCAUUGUUCCAAAGUAUGCAUUAAGGUUCAUUAUAGUACCAUUCUUCAUCUUAAACACAGCUUAUGAUGUGUACCCCAGAUUCAUAAGGGUGCUAGUAAUUUGGAAGAGUGCAUUGAGUUACAUUCAACGAAAUAGGAUUCCUAUGAGCUAGCGUAUUCGUUAGAUGGGAAAUGCAAAUACAUGGUUGAAGAAGAUGCUAGAAGCUAUGCUCCUGUGGUGAAAGAUUAUAGAAAGAACAUGUUUAAGCUUAGGAGGAAGCCAGGAGAGAUUGGACUGUGGGAGGGUACGAAGAGUCAGUGAGGAGGAAGCCAUUCUUGCAUUAUUGCUGCAAUGAAUGAAGCCAUGGAUAAAGCAGAGGCUAAAUUGAGAAAGAGGGAAUAUUUGAACGCUGUUAGAAGUAGAUAUAGAUAUGGAAGAAGUUUAGCAGACAUAAAUACGGGAGAGAUUGGACUGUGAGAGGCUACAAAGAGAAAAUGAGGAGGAAGAGAGAGAGAAAGAAAGCACAUGAGAGAGAGAGGAAAUUUGAUUACUUUUUACAGCUUUUCUCGUUUCCAUAACAUUUUCACAUUCUUUUAAUAUAUCUGCUUUUGGUGUACAGUGGAGACGACAAAGAUGAUGGUGUAGAGAGGGUUGUGUAUCUCCAUAAAAUAUGGGAUCCCAUCGUGGCAAGGAAUUCUAUCUAUGGUAGGCUAGUGCUUGUCAACAAUCUACAAAGGUGUGUUAUUUUCCUCCAUUUCAGAGGGCAGAGAAUUUGAGAAGCUAACUUUCAUGAUCUUCUUCUUAGAGGGUUGCGGUUUAGCACGCAAGGCCUUGCUUUCUGAUGCCACUGUUAAGUGUUUGACUGAUGCAGGCCUCUUUUUGGAUGUAAAGCCGUCAGUGUCACCUUGAACCCCAGCAUGAGGGUAUUCCACGAUAAUCUUGUUUCUUUAUAGGGAAUGAGAAAGACUCUAAACAAAAAUUGUACCUGUUUCUAUAAAGAUCCCAAACUAUGCAUUUUUCCGCAGUAUGCACUAAGGUUCAUGACAGUACCAUUCUUCAUCUUAUACACACCUUAUAAUGUCUACCAAAUCCUAAAUUUUUGAAUCUUUCCACUUGAUGCGGGUAAUUUCUUAACUAACCGGCGAAAAAUCAACCCAUGUUCCAACUCACACGUUUAUGCAGUGUGACCAUGGGCGGAUCUCUAUAAGGCAAAUGGUAGAGUCCAGUUGAUAUCUUUUGGUAUUUGUACAAAUGGUGCCUGCAUUUGGUUACUUUGAAGCUUCAGAUUCACAACAGAUUAAUCUGUUAUUCAACUCCUUCGAUCAAGUCAUACAUAACAUCUUGCUUCAUCUCAAAUAUUUUUCUCCAAUUAAGUGGCUCUUGUUGGACUGAGAGCACAAUCACGGAUCACAUGGAUUUGCUUCAUGAGCAGGUUAAAUUGUUAGCUGAAGAUUCACAACUAAAGCAUUGUGGUUGAUCCUACCAAGCUAAGUGGCGGUUUACAUAAUUAUGAAAGUGGAUGGAGUUGAUUGCAAAGCACCAUGGCAUGGUUCCAUUUUCAGGAUUCCAAUUACCAUAACAAAACCUAUGACUGUGAACAAUCGUCCUCCUAUUGUAUCAUUUACAAGGAUGUCAUUUCAGCCAGGUCAGUUUAGUUAGUUUCUAUGAUCUCAUGAUAACUUUGUUGCUGCUCUUCUUCUUGCAGAUUCAGAUCACUAUAGAUUAAUCUCUAGUUCAACUCCUUCAAUCAAGUGUCUUACUUCAUCUCAAAUAUUUUUCUCACUUUGAGCUGCUUUUGUUGGCAGAUGAAGUUGAAGUUUAUUUUAACAGUGGAGUGUGCAAGUUGAAACCUGGUUUCAUGAAAGUGCUAGUAAUUUGGAAGAGUGCAUUGAGUUACAUUCAAUUGAAAAGGCAGUUGGCAAUGGAUCUUGAGUACAUUCUCCUUACUCACAAUGGAUGCAGAUUCAAAACUGAGUGAAGCUCAGAUAUUGUGAUGGAGCUUCAUUUACUGGAGAUACCAGUUUUGACAAUGGGACAUCAGUUCUCCAUUUCAGAGGGCAGGAGCUAUCAGAUCUUCUUUCGAAAGGGUUGGGUUAGCACGAAAGGCCUUGCUUUCAGGUUGAUCUGCUGGUGGUUUAUAAUCCUUCCUCCACUGGGAGAACUUUGCUAAGGUGUUACCAAGCAUGCCAGUGGUAAGUGUUUGAGUGAUGCAGUCUUCGAGUGAUGCAGUCUUCUUUUUGGAUGAGAAAGAAGUCACCUUGAACCAUACCAUAAGGCUAUUAUAUGAAAAUCUUGUUUCCUUGCAGGGAAUUGAAAAGCAUCUGAACAAAAAUUGUACCUGUUUCUAUAAAGACCUAAAACUAUGCUUUUUUCCGCAGUAUGUAUU